GCCGGGGUCGCAUAAUCUGGUAGUGCGCUGGCCUUGAGAGCCAGUUUCCUUUUGGAUAUCUGGGUUCAAAUCCCAGCCCCGGCG
rnacentral:tRNA from 1 species